GAGAAAAGGUGCGCAUUUUUGUUGAGGAAAUUUGGCGCAGUUUUGAACGGUCGGUCGAAAGUACAAUGAACACUGGCUGUGGCUCUUGCUAUGGAACAGUCAACAAAAACAGAGAAUUUAACAUCAAGAUGCAAAUAUUGUCGAAAACAAUUGGAAAAUGUUACGUCAGCUGUCAGACACAUAUUGGAGAUUCACCCGAAAGAGAAAGUAUCAAUUUUGAUACCAUCCAGUGACAUUUUAACAUCUAAAUUUCGAACUAGAACAUUUGAUGUAUGUAGAGAAAAUGUUGGAUGCGAUAUUAAGGAUGUUUAUUUUGAUGAAACUACCAAUA